rnacentral:lncRNA from 1 species
UAGUUAUUUUCCCCACUUAUGGUGCUGGUGGAGCGGAAGUUGGUUUCUGGUGAGUAGUGGGUGGUGCAAGUGGAUAAGUGGUCAGUUCUUAAAGAGCAGAGAGGGUCACCUUAUGAAAGGAAUACGCUCCCUACGGUGCCGUCGGUGGAUCCUGAGGUGUUGGGGUAGAUCCCCUCCUAGGACGACCUCUGUCUAUCCUCAUCCCUUAUCCUUGUCUACUUGCAUCACAAUAGCCUCCAUCAGUCACUCGCCCUGAAAUGUGCCUACAAUCUACCACAUAAUUUAACCCUAAGAACUUGCUCUGAUACCAACUGUAACACCCCUGGUUAUUUUAUAGCCCUAAAUUUCACAUGUGCUCCAUUCAUUUAUAUUCACGAUCUCA